CCUACGGGUGGCAGCAGUGGGGAAUAUUGCACAAUGGGGGAAACCCUGAUGCAGCGACGCCGCGUGAGUGAAGAAGUAUUUCGGUAUGUAAAGCUCUAUCAGCAGGGAAGAAAAUGACGGUACCUGACUAAUAAGCCCCGUCUAACUACGUGCCAGCAGCCGCGGGAAUAUGUCGGGGGCACAGGUUAUCCGGAUUUACUGGGUGUAAAGGGAGCGUAGACGGCCAGACAAGUCCGAAGUGAAAGACCCGGGCUCAACCCUGGGACGGCUUUUGAAACUGCCGGGCUGGAGUGCAGGAGAGGUAAGCGGAAUGCCGAGUGUAGCGGUGAAAUGCGUAGAUAUUAGGAGGAACACCAGUGGCGAAGGCGGCUUACUGGACUGUAACUGACGUUGAGGCUCGAAAGCGUGGGGAGCAAACAGGAUUAGAUACCCGAGUAGUC
rnacentral:rRNA from 1 species